CCUACGGGGGGCAGCAGUGGGGAAUAUUGGACAAUGGGGGGAACCCUGAUCCAGCCAUGCCGCGUGUGUGAAGAAGGCCCUCGGGUUGUAAAGCACUUUCAGUGAGGAAGAACGCCUGGUGGUUAAUACCCAUCAGGAAAGACAUCACUCACAGAAGAAGCACCGGCUAACUCCGUGCCAGCAGCCGCGGUAAUACGGAGGGUGCGAGCGUUAAUCGGAAUUACUGGGCGUAAAGCGCGCGUAGGUGGCUUGAUAAGCCGGUUGUGAAAGCCCCGGGCUCAACCUGGGAACGGCAUCCGGAACUGUCAAGCUAGAGUGCAGGAGAGGAAGGUAGAAUUCCCGGUGUAGCGGUGAAAUGCGUAGAGCUCGGGAGGAAUACCAGUGGCGAAGGCGGCCUUCUGGACUGACACUGACACUGAGGUGCGAAAGCGUGGGUAGCAAACAGGAUUAGAUACCCCAGUAGUC
rnacentral:rRNA from 1 species